rnacentral:misc_RNA from 1 species
GAUGAAGAACGUAGCGAAAUGCGAUAAGUUAUGUGAAUUGCAGAAUUCAGUGAAUCAUCGAAUCUUUGAACGCACAUUGCGCCCGCCAGCAUUCUGGCGGGCAUGCCUGUUCGAGCGUCAUUUCAACCCUCGACCUCCCCUUGGGGAGGUCGGCGUUGGGGACCGGCAGCACACCGCCGGCCCUGAAAUGGAGUGGCGGCCCGUCUGCGGCGACCUCUGCGUAGUAAUACAGCUCGCACCGGAACCCCGACGCGGCCACGCCGUAAAACACCCAACUUCUGAACGUUGACCUCGAAUCAGGUAGGACUACCCGCUGAACUUAAGCAUAUCAAUAAGCGGAGGA